rnacentral:rRNA from 1 species
AUACGGAUGGUGCGAGCGUUGUUCGGAAUUACUGGGCGUAAAGGGCGCGUAGGCGGCGAUGUAAGUCAAAUGUGAAAGUCCUCGGCUUAACCGGGGAAGUGCAUCUGGAACUGCAUUGCUUGAGUAUGGGAGAGGAAAGUGGAAUUCCCGGUGUAGAGGUGAAAUUCGUAGAGAUCGGGAGGAAUACCGGUGGCGAAGGCGACUUUCUGGACCAAUACUGACGCUGAGGCGCGAAAGCGUGGGGAGCAAACAGGAUUAGAAACCCCAGUAGUCC